UACGUAGGUGGCAAGCGUUGUCCGGAUUUACUGGGCGUAAAGGGAGCGUAGGCGGAUUUUUAAGUGAGAUGUGAAAUACUCGGGCUCAACUUGAGUGCUGCAUUUCAAACUGGAAGUCUAGAGUGCAGGAGAGGAGAAUGGAAUUCCUAGUGUAGCGGUGAAAUGCGUAGAGAUUAGGAAGAACACCAGUGGCGAAGGCGAUUCUCUGGACUGUAACUGACGCUGAGGCUCGAAAGCGUGGGGAGCAAACAGG
rnacentral:rRNA from 1 species